rnacentral:rRNA from 1 species
AGAGUUUGAUCCUGGCUCAGAACGAACGCUGGCGGCGUGGAUAAGACAUGCAAGUCGAACGAGAUUUUUCGUUGUAGCAAUACGAUGGAAAAUUUAGUGGCGAACGGGUGCUUAACACGUGGGCAACCUGCCAUGAAGUGGGGGAUAGCUCGCCGAAAGGCGAAUUAAUACCGCAUGUGAUUAGAGAGGACAUCCUUUCGAAAUUAAAGUCGGGGCAACCUGACGCUUCUUGUGGGGCCCGCGGCCUAUCAGCUAGUUGGUGAGGUAACGGCUCACCAAGGCUUUGACGGGUAGCUGGUCUGAGAGGACGACCAGCCACACUGGGACUGAGACACGGCCCAGACACCUACGGGUGGCAGCAGUCGAGAAUUUUUGACAGUGGGGGAAACCCUGAUCGAGCGACGCCGCGUGGAGGAUGAAGGUCUUCGGAUUGUAAACUCCUGUCAUUGGGGAACAAGGUGCAUACGUUAACUGUGUGUGCAUUGAUAGUACCCGAAGAGGAAGAGACGGCUAACUCUGUGCCAGCAGCCGCGGUAAU